rnacentral:rRNA from 1 species
UACGUAGGGUGCGAGCGUUAAUCGGAAUUACUGGGCGUAAAGCGUGCGCAGGCGGUUCGCCAAGUCAGGUGUGAAAUCCCCGGGCUUAACCUGGGAAUUGCGCUUGAAACUAGCGGGCUUGAGUGUGGCAGAGGGGGGUGGAAUUCCACGUGUAGCAGUGAAAUGCGUAGAGAUGCGGAGGAACACCGAUGGCGAAGGCAGCCCCCUGGGCCGACACUGACGCUCAGGCACGAAAGCGUGGGGAGCAAACAGG